GUUUUCUUUCCUUAGAGUGUGUGGGAAGGUGUUGACUGCUAGUAGGUCUAGUUCCUGCUCCUCCUCUAAACUGGGUCAUCACAAUUUACCCUCCUACCUCUUAGGAGCCCAGAGGCRUAAAACAGAACAAACAGAACCCUGAUGUAGCAGCUAGUCCUGCUGUCUGAUCACGUAGUUAAAAUUCAAGUUGAGGCUAAGUGAC